AUUUUUAUUUAGAUCCAAGUCAGAAAGUAGUGCCCAAACAAAUACCAGCAGUAACCAAUAAUUCCUUCAGAAGGCGAUGGAUAUUACCUGGGGUCUCACUGAGACAUAAAAAUUCAGCCUGUCCUUCCCUGGUCACAGCUGAAGAAAACAAUAAACCGAGUGUGAACCAA